rnacentral:rRNA from 1 species
AUUGAACGCUGGCGGCAUGCCUUACACAUGCAAGUCGAACGGUAACAGGUCUUCGGACGCUGACGAGUGGCGAACGGGUGAGUAAUACACCGGAACGUGCCCAGUCGUGGGGGAUAACUACUCGAAAGAGUAGCUAAUACCGCAUACGAUCUGCGGAUGAAAGCGGGGGACCUUCGGGCCUCGCGCGACUGGAGCGGCCGAUGGCAGAGUAGGUAGUUGGGGGGAUAAAAGCUUACCAAGCCGACGAGCUGUAGCUGGCCUGAGAGGACGACCAGCCACAGUGGGGCGGGGACACGGCCCAGACUCCUACGGGAGGCAGCAGUGGGGAAUAUUGGACAAGGGACGCAAGUCUAAUCCAGCCAUGCCGCGUGAAGGAUUAAGGUCCUCUGGAUUGUAAACUUCUUUUAUAAGGGACGAAAAAAGGUCUUUCUAGAUCGUCUGACGGUACCUUAUGAAUAAGCACCGGCUAACUCCGUGCCAGCAGCAGCCGCCGUAA